rnacentral:rRNA from 1 species
GGAUCAUUACUGAGUGUAAAAACUCCCAAACCCAUGUGAACUUACCACUUGUUGCCUCGGCAGGGCCCUUCCCGGGCGGUCUCCGGACCUCCGGCUAGGCGGCCUGCCGGCGGACUACUAAACUCUUGUUAUUUUUAUGGAACUCUGAGUUACAAAACAAAAUAAUCAAAACUUUCAACAACGGAUCUCUUGGUUCUGGCAUCGAUGAAGAACGCAGCGAAAUGCGAUAAGUAAUGUGAAUUGCAGAAUUCAGUGAAUCAUCGAAUCUUUGAACGCACAUUGCGCCUAUUAGUAUUCUAGUAGGCAUGCCUGUUCGAGCGUCAUUUCAACCCUCAAGCCCUGGUUGCUUGGUGUUGGGAGCCUGCCGUGAAACGCAGCUCCCCAAAGUUAGCUGGCAGAGCUGGGUUUUGCUCUAAGCGUAGUAGAUUUCUUCUCGCUUCUGCAGCGGCCCCGGCCCUCUCGCCAUUAAACCCCCUAAUUUUUCUAUGGUUGACCUCGGAUCAGGUAGGAAUACCCGCUGAACUUAAGCAUAUCAAUAAGCGGAGGAAAAGAAACCAACAGGGAUUGCCUCAGUAACGGCGAGUGAAGCGGCAACAGCUCAAAUUUGAAAGCUGGCCUUCUGGCCCGCAUUGUAAUUUGUAGAGGAUGCUUUUGAUGCGGUACCUUCCGAGUUCCUUGGAACAGGACGCCUUAGAGGGUGAGAGCCCCGUACGGUUGGAUGCCAAAUCUCUGUAUAGCUCCUUCGACGAGUCGAGUAGUUUGGGAAUGCUGCUCUAAAUGGGAGGUAAAUGUCUUCUAAAGCUAAAUAUUGGCCAGAGACCGAUAGCGCACAAGUAGAGUGAUCGAAAGAUGAAAAGCACUUUGAAAAGAGGGUUAAAUAGCACGUGAAAUUGUUGAAAGGGAAGGAUUUGUCACCAGACCUUUGCCUGGCGGAUCAUCCGGUGUUCUCACCGGUGCACUUCGCCAGGCUGAGGCCAGCAUCGGUUUCGGCCGGGGGAUAAAGGCUUCGGGAACGUGACUCCCCCCGGGGAGUGUUAUAGCCCGUUGCGUAAUACCCUGGCCGGGACCGAGGACCGCG